UUUAUGGAGAGUUUGAUCCUGGCUCAGGAUGAACGCUGGCGGCGUGCCUAAUACAUGCAAGUCGAGCGAACGGAUGAGAAGCUUGCUUCUCUGAUGUUAGCGGCGGACGGGUGAGUAACACGUGGAUAACCUACCUAUAAGACUGGGAUAACUUCGGGAAACCGGAGCUAAUACCGGAUAAUAUUUUGAACCGCAUGGUUCAAAAGUGAAAGACGGUCUUGCUGUCACUUAUAGAUGGAUCCGCGCUGCAUUAGCUAGUUGGUAAGGUAACGGCUUACCAAGGCAACGAUGCAUAGCCGACCUGAGAGGGUGAUCGGCCACACUGGAACUGAGACACGG
rnacentral:rRNA from 1 species